AGAGUUUGAUCCUGGCUCAGGACGAACGCUGGCGGCGUGCCUAACACAUGCAAGUCGAGCGAUGAAGCUCCUUCGGGAGUGGAUUAGCGGCGGACGGGUGAGUAACACGUGGGCAACCUGCCUCAAAGUGGGGAAUAGCCCUCCGAAAGGAGGAUUAAUACCGCAUAACAUGAAGGAAUCGCAUGGUUUUUUCAUUAAAGAUUUAUCGCUUUGAGAUGGGCCCGCGGCACAUUAGCUAGUUGGUGAGGUAACGGCUCACCAAGGCGACGAUGCGUAGCCGACCUGAGAGGGUGAUCGGCCACAUUGGAACUGAGACACGGUCCAGACUCCUACGGGAGGCAGCAGUGGGGAAUAUUGCGCAAUGGGGGAAACCCUGACGCAGCAACGCCGCGUGAGUGAUGAAGGUCUUCGGAUUGUAAAACUCUGUCUCCAGGGACGAUAAUGACGGUACCUGAGGAGGAAGCCACGGCUAACUACGUGCCAGCAGCCGCGGUAA
rnacentral:rRNA from 1 species